rnacentral:rRNA from 1 species
UACGUAGGGAGCGAGCGUUGUCCGGAUUCAUUGGGCGUAAAGAGCUCGUAGGCGGCUUGGUAAGUCGGAUGUGAAACCUCCAGGCUCAACCUGGAGUCGCCAUCCGAUACUGCCAUGGCUAGAGUCCGGUAGGGGCCCACGGAACUCCCGGUGUAGCGGUGAAAUGCGCAGAUAUCAGGAAGAACACCGGUGGCGAAGGCGGUGGGCUGGGCCGGCACUGACGCUGAGGAGCGAAAGCGUGGGGAGCGAACAGG